CUCAAGUCACUUAAGUUUAACAUUCCACUUGCAGUUCUCACACUUGUAAUAACUCAAAACAAAAGCACUACCAAAAUGAUGAAAUUGGUAAGUUUGUUGCUUCUCGUUAUUGCCGCUCUCUUCGCUGUGGCUAUGGCUGUACCCGCGCCAGUGGCUGGUCCCAACCCUGAGCCCAACCCACAGUUCGUGUAUGGUGCUUACCCAUAUGCGUCAUACGCAUCAUACCCAUAUGU